CCUACGGGUGGCAGCAGUGAGGAAUAUUGGUCAAUGGGCGGAAGCCUGAACCAGCCAAGUAGCGUGCAGGAUGACGGCCCUACGGGUUGUAAACUGCUUUUAUACGGGAAUAACGCGCCUUACGUGUAGGGCUUUGCAUGUACCGUAUGAAUAAGGACCGGCUAAUUCCGUGCCAGCAGCCGCGGUAAUACGGAAGGUCCGGGCGUUAUCCGGAUUUAUUGGGUUUAAAGGGAGCGUAGGCCGCAUGUCAAGCGUGCUGUGAAAUGUCCGGGCUCAACCCGGGCCUUGCAGCGCGAACUGGCGUGCUGGAGUCCGCGGAAAGCAGGCGGAAUUCGUCGUGUAGCGGUGAAAUGCAUAGAUAUGGCGCAGAACUCCGAUUGCGAAGGCAGCAUGCCGGCUCCACACUGACGCUGAGGCACGAAAGCGUGGGUAUCGAACAGGAUUAGAUACCCUUGUAGUC
rnacentral:rRNA from 1 species